rnacentral:rRNA from 1 species
ACGAACGCUGGCGGCGUGCUUAACACAUGCAAGUCGAACGGAAAGGCCCUGCUUUUGUGGGGUGCUCGAAUGGCGAACGGGUGAGUAACACGUGAGUAACCUGCCCUUGACUUUGGGAUAACUUCAGGAAACUGGGGCUAAUACCGGAUAGGAGCUCCUGCUGCAUGGUGGGGGUUGGAAAGUUUCGGCGGUUGGGGAUGGACUCGCGGCUUAUCAGCUUGUUGGUGGGGUAGUGGCUUACCAAGGCUUUGACGGGUAGCCGGCCUGAGAGGGUGACCGGCCACAUUGGGACUGAGAUACGGCACAGACUCCUACGGGAGGCAGCAGUGGGGAAUAUUGCACAAUGGGCGGAAGCCUGAUGCAGCAACGCCGCGUGCGGGAUGACGGCCUUCGGGUUGUAAACCGCUUUCGCCUGUGACGAAGCGUGAGUGACGGUAAUGGGUAAAGAAGCACCGGCUAACUACGUG